rnacentral:rRNA from 1 species
AACGAACGCUGGCGGCGGGCUUAACACAUGCAAGUCGAACGGGUGCAGCAAUGCAUCAGUGGCAGACGGGUGAGUAACACGUGGGAACCUUCCUAGGGGUACGGAACAACUCAGGGAAACUUGAGCUAAUACCGAAUACGUCCGUGAGGAGAAAGAUUUAUCGCCCUUAGACGGGCCCGCGUCGGAUUAGCUAGUUGGUGGGGUAACGGCCUACCAAGGCGACGAUCCGUAGCUGAUCUUAGAGGAUGAUCAGCCACACUGGGACUGAGACACGGCCCAGACUCCUACGGGAGGCAGCAGUGGGGAAUCUUGGACAAUGGGCGCAAGCCUGAUCCAGCCAUGCCGCGUGAGUGAAGAAGGUCUUCGGAUUGUAAAGCUCUUUUGCCAGGGACGAUAAUGACGGUACCUGGAGAAUAAGCCCCGGCAAACUUCGUGCCAGCCGCCGCAGUAA